rnacentral:rRNA from 1 species
AUUGAACGCUGGCGGCAUGCCUUACACAUGCAAGUCGAACGGUAACGCGGGGCAACCUGGCGACGAGUGGCGAACGGGUGAGUAAUGCAUCGGAACGUGCCCAGUUGUGGGGGAUAACUGCUCGAAAGAGCAGCUAAUACCGCAUACGACCUGAGGGUGAAAGCGGGGGAUCGCAAGACCUCGCGCAAUUGGAGCGGCCGAUGGCGGAUUAGCUAGUUGGUGGGGUAAAGGCCCACCAAGGCGACGAUCCGUAGCUGGUCUGAGAGGACGACCAGCCAAACUGGGACUGAGACACGGCCCAGACUCCUACGGGAGGCAGCAGUGGGGAAUUUUGGACAAUGGACGCAAGUCUGAUCCAGCCAUGCCGCGUGCGGGAAGAAGGCCUUCGGGUUGUAAACCGCUUUUGUCAGGGAAGAAAUCUUCUGGGUUAAUACCUCGGGAGGAUGACGGUACCUGAAGAAUAAGCACCGGCUAACUACGUGCCAGCAGCCGCAGUAACAC